ACUGCUCAGUAACACGUGGAUAACCUGCCCUUGGGUCCGGGAUAACCCCGGGAAACUGGGACUAAUACCGGAUAGAUCAAAGAUACUGGAAUGUUCUCUGGUCCAAAACUCCGGUGCCCAAGGAUGGGUCUGCGGCCUAUCAGGUAGUAGUGGGUGUAACGUACCUACUAGCCUGCGACGGGUAAGGGUUGUGAGAGCAAGAUCCCUGAGAUGGAUUCUGAGACAUGAAUCCAGGCCCUACGGGGUGCAGCAGGCGCGAAAACUUUACACUGCGGGAAACCGCGAUAAGGGGACCCCGAGUGCCAGCACCUAGUGCUGGCUGUCCCGCUGUCCAAACAACAGUGGUUAGCAAGGGCCGGGCAAGACCGGUGCCAGCCGCCGCGGUAACACCGGCGGCCCGAGUGGUAGCCGCUAUUAUUGGGUUUAAAGGGCCCGUAGCCGGCCUAUUAAGUCUCUUGGGAAAUCUGGCGGCUUAAUCGUCAGGCGUCCAAGAGAUACUGGUAGGCUUGGGACCGGGAGAGGUGGGAGGUACUCCAGGGGUAGGGGUGAAAUCUCGUAAUCCUUGGGGGACCACCGAUGGCGAAGGCAUCCCACCAGAACGGGUCCGACGGUGAGGGACGAAAGCUGGGGGCACGAACCGGAUUAGAUACCCGGGUAGUCCCAGCUGUAAACGAUGCUCGCUAGGUGUCAGGUGCGGUGCGACCGCAUCUGGUGCCGCAGUGAAAACUUGAAGCGAGUCACCUGGGAAGUACGGUCGCAAGGCUGAAACUUAAAGGAAUUGGCGGGGGAGCAC
rnacentral:rRNA from 1 species